rnacentral:tRNA from 1 species
UGAAGUGUAGUGUAAUGGUAACACAGCAGACUUUGGUUCUGUAAUUAUGGGUUCGACUCCCGUCACUUCAAC